CUUCCCCGUGACUUCCGGGAAAUGUCAGCCUCCGUCGUCUGGCCUCUUUUACCCGUAGAAGAUAAUGAUGUGUGAGGGGCGCCGCCUGCUGGACACCACGUGACAGGGUCAGAUAGGGACACAUACAUGAUUUAAUGCUGACAGGUGAGGUGACAUGACGUGUCACUCAAAAGCAGACUGGGUGAGGUUGCUGUGAAAGUUUAUUUCCAUGGUCCACAUCUGGUCUGGAGUCUGCCACACUGAAGAAAGAAAAUUCGUUCACCUGUAUUCUGAAUAUGGAAGAUUAACAAUAAAUUCUUCCUUGUA